AUUGAACGCUGGCGGCAGGCUUAACACAUGCAAGUCGAGCGGAGAUGAGGUGCUUGCACCUUAUCUUAGCGGCGGACGGGUGAGUAAUGCUUAGGAAUCUGCCUAUUAGUGGGGGACAACAUUCCGAAAGGAAUGCUAAUACCGCAUACGCCCUACGGGGGAAAGCAGGGGAUCUUCGGACCUUGCGCUAAUAGAUGAGCCUAAGUCGGAUUAGCUAGUUGGUGGGGUAAAGGCCUACCAAGGCGACGAUCUGUAGCGGGUCUGAGAGGAUGGUCCGCCACACUGGGACUGAGACACGGCCCAGACUCCUACGGGAGGCAGCAGUGGGGAAUAUUGGACAAUGGGCGGAAGCCUGAUCCAGCCAUGCCGCGUGUGUGAAGAAGGCCUUAUGGUUGUAAAGCACUUUAAGCGAGGAGGAGGCUACUUUAGUUAAUACCUAGAGAUAGUGGACGUUACUCGCAGAAUAAGCACCGGCUAACUCUGUGCCAGCCGCCGCUGUAAAAC
rnacentral:rRNA from 1 species